rnacentral:piRNA from 1 species
UCUUCAAUCAUGGAGAGGCUUGAGCAAUU